CAGCCUCCCACUCUCUCUCCUAUCUUCCUCUCCUCUCAAAUCUCUCUGACUUCUCUCUAAAACUUCUCCCUUCUCUCUAACAUUUCUCAUUUGUUCUCUCUUUCUUCUCUACCGCUGUCGCCGUCGCUAUUUUUUUUUUCUUUCUCCGCCGCCUCUCCUCAUCUUCCUUUUCUGGUCUCGCCGACGGCGGAGGGCGCCGCUGCCUCCGCCUCCUCUCUUCUCCCACUACGAACAGAGAAAGGAAAACAGAAGGAAGAAAAGGUAUAAACAUGGAAACCCCUCUUUCUACUUUAGUUUUUUGUUUUGACUUCGAUUCGAGCUUGCAUGUUGUCUGCAAACCCUGAUCUGUGGAUUUACGAUCUGAGUUUUUUUUAUUUUUAUAUUCUUUCCCUGAUUUAUGUUGUCUUUAUGUUGGUUUCUGGUUUCAAUAAAGAUGGGGAUCGGUGGAGCCGGAGAGGCUGAAGCUGGAAACAAAAAUAAAAGUCUCCGUCGACGACGGACUCGCCGGAGCAAAGGACGAGAAAGGUAAAAAGUUGAACCCUUUAUUUAUUCUGAUUUUACUUGGUUGAUGAUGGUAGUUUUGUUUGAUUAGGUCACUUGGAAUAAAAUCUGGACUAUUUGGUUGUUACGAUGAGUUUAGUAAUCUGAACUUUCUAAAAAUUGCCCAUUUGUUGGAAAUGUUAUUAUUUGGUGUCAUCCUUGGUAAAAUUUCAGCAACUUGUUAAGUUUUGAAUCUUAUUUUAGGGCUUGUUAGCACGUUUACCAACAUCAAACGUUCCCUUGAUUAGUCAUAAUGAAUAUUCGAGGAUGAUUUUUAAGAGAGUAUAAGUGCCACAAAAUGUAUGUAUGAAUAUUGCAUGAAUGCUUUUGAAUAGGAAUGUUUGGAUGAUUACCUUUGAAUCGAAGCUUUUUUUGUCGUGUUUCAUGUGGCAGCCCCUUUGCGAGUGGCGAUAAAACGCAUGUCGGCCAAAAUUUUUGUUCUUAGGGUAGUCCCUUGCGAAUGACGACAAAGUGAAUGACAGUAGAAACAGUUGUACUUAGGUUUAGCUCAUAUUUUUGUAUCGUGCUGUAAUAAUUUUCUUUUCUUCUUUAUUUUGGACUUGGACUUGGGGUGCAUGAAUUUUUUUCGUCCAAAACCAUUGCACCUCCCCCUUUUUCCUCUUGUUUGUCCAUUUAAAUCAAGAAAAGGGGCUGCCACCUCUCCUCUCCCCCAAUAGAACUUUGCAACGUUUCUUGAAACAAAACAAGAGGUGGCAGUCUCUUAAUUAAUAACAGUAGCGGGCCCC
rnacentral:lncRNA from 1 species